AAGUCGUAACAAGGGUGUCGCGUAGCGUGAACCUGCGGAAGGAUCAUCAUCCGAGGUUCAGGAUUCCUCUCACGGAGUUCCGAUCUCCCUCAACACGAGAGUAUAACUCACCCUCAUCGUUGCUUUUGGCGGGACCGGUCCGUUUCGAUCGCCGGGGGGUGCUUUGCCCCCGUGGAGCGUGUCCGCCGAUGGUCCAACCACACACACCUCUUGGUACAAAACCCUGUCGUGUGAAGCACUUGAUAUAUAAUCAACACAAAACUUUCAACAACGGAUCUCUUGGCUCUGGCAUCGAUGAAGAACGCAGCGAAAUGCGAUAAGUAAUGCGAAUUGCAGAAUUUCCGUGAGUCAUUGAAUCUUUGAACGCACAUUGCGCCCAUUGUCAUUCCGAUGGGCAGGCCUGUUCGAGCGUCAUUAUCCUCCCUCAAACCCCUGGGUUUGGUGUUGGACUCUGUGGUGCCUGGCACUACUGGUCUCAAAGACAAUGACGGCGUCCGUGGGACCCUCGGUGCAACGAGCUUUUCGAAGCACGCGUCGAGUGGACAGUCUCUCCGGGCCGGUCACCUUUCCAAUUUUUCUCAGGUUGACCUCGGAUCAGGUAGGAAUACCCGCUGAACUUAA
rnacentral:rRNA from 1 species